rnacentral:sRNA from 1 species
UGACGCCCUCUGUCGUAUGGUCAAUGGC